GAACUGUUCUGCAGACCUUCUGCUCUUGUAUUGUGACUUUAUUUUUACGAACUUUUCAAAUGUCUCAGCCUUCCACAGCAUCCAAUGUUUACUGACACAGUGUGAUGUCAUCUUUCAACAAAGAUAUCAAGAGAAGAAAGGGGUCAGGGAGGACCCUAGAGGCUGUAGGGCCCCCUAGCGUCUGCUAACAGGUAAAGCAAAUGUAGAGCAAGGAGCCAGGAAAGGUUCAGCCACCUUGGGGGGGUCUCUGUUUCAAGGCUCUCAAUACAUUUUGCACAUGAACAGCAUUAUGCCUGUGAACUUUGGUGUGGCAGGAGACCUGUUAGAGUAAUUUCAAGGCUGCAGUAAUUGAUGACACCAGCUUGUUGAAAAACCAGCCUCUACCUCAGAGCAAAGCCUGUCCAAGGAAGGGACAUCACCUUUGUCCUUGGAAAAACCCACAGAGCACUCCUAGGCACAUUCCCACCCUGCUAAGUGGUUUAUCUACAAAUAACAGGAGAGAUCUGCUGCGCCAGGUGUCCCUGACCCAGUCAGGCUAGGUGAGGACCCAUAGCAACCCCCUAGCAGCCACCAAUCAGCAUGAGACAGGGAAAUACCUGGGAUGCCAGAUGACCCUCCCAGUAGUUUAUGCUGGUUGAUAACGUGUUGGGAAACCAUGUAGUUCAGCAUGAACACCCCUCUUGGCUUAAACCAAUCAGUUCAAAUGAAUACCCCUUUUGCACUGACCAAUCACCCCUACCCAACUUGUUCCCGCCAGUGAAUGUGCUAAUCAUGUUUUAGAGUUGUUAUUUGAUUUUCCCGCGGUGUGUGAUGAUUUGCUAAGAGAUGCUAUGAUGUAUGUGAAGUCCCUGCCUUCUCCAAAGAAUGUAUAAAACUGCUGCAAACCCUGGGCUCGGGGCCUCUCAGCGUCACCAGUUGCUGUGUGUGCACGCGGAGGACCGAGCUAGCUCGCAAUAAACACCUCUUUGCUGCUUACAUCGAUCUUGGGUCU
rnacentral:lncRNA from 1 species